rnacentral:tRNA from 1 species
GGUGAUUGUAGCUCAAUCGGGAGAGCGGCUGAUUGUGGGUCAGCAGGUAGUCGGAUCGAAACCGACCUUUCACCC